rnacentral:rRNA from 1 species
AGAGUUUGAUCAUGGCUCAGAACGAACGCUGGCGGCGUGGAUAAGACAUGCAAGUCGAGCGCUGAUUUGAGGGUAGCAAUAUUCUCAAGUCGGAGCGGCGCAAGGGUGCGUAACACGUGGGUAAUCUGCCAUGAAGUUGGGGAUAACUCGCUGAAAGGCGAGCUAAUACCGGAUGUGAAAAUUGAAAGGCAUCUUUUGAUUUUUAAAGUUGGGGAUCGUAAGACCUGACGCUUCAUGAUGAACCCGCGGCCUAUCAGCUAGUUGGUGAGGUAACGGCUCACCAAGGCUAAGACGGGUAGCUGGUCUGAGAGGACGACCAGCCACACUGGAACUGAGACACGGUCCAGACACCUACGGGUGGCAGCAGUCGAGAAUUUUUCACAAUGGACGAAAGUCUGAUGGAGCGACGCCGCGUGGGGGAUGAAUGGCUUCGGCCCGUAAACCCCUGUCAUUUGCGAACAAACCUUGUUAUUUAAAAGAUGACGAGCUGAUUGUAGCGAAAGAGGAAGGGACGGCUAACUCUGUGCCAGCAGCCGCGGUAAUACAGAGGUCCCAAGCGUUGUUCGGAUUCACUGGGCGUAAAGGGUGCGUAGGUGGUGAGGUAAGUCUGAUGUGAAAUCUCCAGGCUCAACCUGGAAAUGGCAUUGGAAACUACCUUGCUCGAGGAGUGGAGGGGGGACUGGAAUACUUGGUGUAGCAGUGAAAUGCGUAGAUAUCAAGUGGAACACCAGUGGCGAAGCGAGUCCCUGGACAUCUCCUGACACUGAGCACGAAAGCUAGGGAGCAAACAGGAUUAGAUACCCUGGUAGUCCUAGCUGUAACGGUGCGUAUUUGCUGUAAGUGGAAUCGACCCCACUUGUGGGCGUAGCCAACGCGUUAAAUACGCCGCCUGGGAAGUACGGUC